rnacentral:tRNA from 1 species
CGGAGUGUGGCGCAGUCCGGUAGCGCACUCGUCUGGGGGACGAGAGGUCGUAGGUUCAAAUCCUAUCACUCCGACCA